CGGAGCUUCCCUCCAGGGUAGAAAGUUUCAGCUCAGAGGAUAUUGCCGCAACAAGAAGGUUGGCCUGAGUGUCCCCAGGAUGUUAGAUGACCUGGAGGCUCUCAAGGAAUAAGAUGCAGGCUCUACCCUCAUCUGGGUGGCAGAUGGUCACAGAAUCUCAGAACUUGGAGAAGGACAAGGGCUGAAACCAAUGCCAGCCAGAGGAGGAGCUUGUCACCCAGAAAGAGAUUUCACACAGUUCUGACAGCCUGUCAGAUCAUCUUACAGGAGGACUGAAGCUGAGACAUUGAAGGGUCAAUGAUGGGCGAACCACACCUUCACCAGGACUGCUUACCUAUUGCCCUCUCCUGAAACAUAAACCUCAUGUCUGUUCCCUGAAAG
rnacentral:lncRNA from 1 species